rnacentral:rRNA from 1 species
UACAGGGGGGGCAAGCGUUGUUCGGAAUUACUGGGCGUAAAGGGCUCGUAGGCGGCCAACUAAGUCACACGUGAAAUCCCCCAGGCUUAACCUGGGAACUGCGUGUGAUACUGGAUGGCUUGAAUUCGGGAGAGGGAUGCAGAAUUCCUGGUGUAGCAGUGAAAUGCGUAGAUAUCUAGGAGGAAUACCGAUGGCGAAGGCAGGUCUCUGGGCUGACAUUGACGCUCAUGCACGAAAGCGUGGGGAGCGAACAGG